GACGAACGCUGGCGGCGUGCUUAACACAUGCAAGUCGUACGGGAAGGCCCUGUCUUUGUGUGGGGUGCUCGAGUGGCGCACGGGUGCGUACCCCGUGGAUGAUCAGCCCUGCAGUUUGGGAUAGGCCUUAGACACUGGGUCUAGUACCGGAUAGGGCCAUGCGCUUGUGUGGGAUGUCGGGUCGGCUUCUUUUUUGGGCUGGUGUGGGGUUGGCUUGCGGCCUGUCAGGUUGUUGGUGGGAGAAGGGCCUACCCCGCCGUCGGCGGGUAGCAGGCCCGAGAGGGGGGACGACGACAUUGGGACUGGGAUAUGGGACACACUCCUGCGGGAGGCAGCAGUGGGGAGUAUGGCACAAUGGGCGAAAGCCGGAUGCAGCGAGGACGCGUGAGGGAGGACGGUCGUCGGGUUGUAAACCUUGUUCUCCGGGGACGAAGCUUGUUUUGGUGACGGUACCUGGAGAAGAAGCACCGGCUAACUACGUG
rnacentral:rRNA from 1 species